rnacentral:rRNA from 1 species
UACGGAGGGUGCGAGCGUUGUCCGGAAUCACUGGGCGUAAAGGGCGCGUAGGCGGCGCGAGUAGUCAACGGUGAAAGCCCGGGGCUCAACCCCGGGUCGGCCGUCGAUACUCUCGUGCUUGAGCACUGUAGAGGCAGGUGGAAUUCCGGGUGUAGCGGUGGAAUGCGUAGAGAUCCGGAAGAACACCGGUGGCGAAGGCGGCCUGCUGGGCAGUAGCUGACGCUGAGGCGCGACAGCGUGGGGAGCAAACCGG